GCUUGGAUUGAAGGGAGCUCC
rnacentral:miRNA from 1 species